rnacentral:rRNA from 1 species
GACGUAGGGGACGAGCGUUGUCCGGAUUCAUUGGGCGUAAAGCGCGCGUAGGCGGUUACGCAAGUCGGUUGUGAAAAUCCGGGGCUCAACCCCCGGACCUGCAUCCGAUACUGCGUGACUAGAGGUAGGUAGGGGAGAUCGGAAUUCCUGGUGUAGCGGUGAAAUGCGCAGAUAUCAGGAGGAACACCGGUGGCGAAGGCGGAUCUCUGGGCCACUACUGACGCUGAGAAGCGAAAGCAUGGGGAGCGAACAGG